UGAUGAAUAAAAUUAAAUCGCCAUCUUUCGGCUGA
rnacentral:snoRNA from 1 species